AGAGUUUGAUCCUGGCUCAGAGCGAACGCUGGCGGCAGGCUUAACACAUGCAAGUCGAGCGGGCACCUUCGGGUGUCAGCGGCAGACGGGUGAGUAACACGUGGGAACGUGCCCUUUGGUUCGGGACAACUCCGGGAAACUGGAGCUAAUACCGGAUACGCCCUUCGGGGGAAAGAUUUAUCGCCAAAGGAUCGGCCCGCGUCUGAUUAGCUAGUUGGUAGGGUAAUGGCCUACCAAGGCGACGAUCAGUAGCUGGUCUGAGAGGAUGAUCAGCCACACUGGGACUGAGACACGGCCCAGACUCCUACGGGAGGCAGCAGUGGGGAAUAUUGGACAAUGGGCGCAAGCCUGAUCCAGCCAUGCCGCGUGAGUGAUGAAGGCCUUAGGGUUGUAAAGCUCUUUUGUCCGGGAAGAUAAUGACUGUACCGGAAGAAUAAGCCCCGGCUAACUUCGUGCCAGCAGCCGCGGUAAUACGAAGGGGGCUAGCGUUGCUCGGAAUCACUGGGCGUAAAGGGCGCGUAGGCGGAUACUUAAGUCAGGGGUGAAAGCCUGAGGCUCAACCUCAGAAUUGCCUUUGAUACUGAGUAUCUCGAGACCGGAAGAGGUUAGUGGAACUGCGAGUGUAGAGGUGAAAUUCGUAGAUAUUCGCAAGAACACCAGUGGCGAAGGCGGCUAACUGGUCCGGUUCUGACGCUGAGGCGCGAAAGCGUGGGGAGCAAACAGGAUUAGAUACCCUAGUAGUCC
rnacentral:rRNA from 1 species